UACGGGGGGGGCAAGCGUUGUUCGGAAUUACUGGGCGUAAAGGGCUCGUAGGUGGCCAACUAAGUCAGACGUGAAAUCCCUCGGCUUAACCGGGGAACUGCGUCUGAUACUGGAUGGCUUGAGUUCGGAAGAGGGUCGUGGAAUUCCCAGUGUAGAGGUGAAAUUCGUAGAUAUUGGGAAGAACACCGGUGGCGAAGGCGGCGACCUGGUCCGUGACUGACGCUGAGGCGCGAAAGCGUGGGGAGCAAACAGG
rnacentral:rRNA from 1 species